rnacentral:rRNA from 1 species
UGGGGAAUCUUGGACAAUGGGGGAAACCCUGAUCCAGCGACGCCGCGUGACCGAUGAAGGCCCUCGGGUCGUAAAGGUCUUUCGACGGGGACAAUAGUGAUGGUACCCGUAGAAGAAGGAGCGGCUAACUACGUGCCAGCAGCCGCGGUAAUACGUAGGCUCCAAGCGUUGUUCGGAAUUACUGGGCGUAAAGCGAGUGUAGGCGGUCCGUCAAGUUGGUUGUGAAAUCUCCCGGCUCAACUGGGAGGGUGCGACCAAAACUGACGGACUGGAGUCCGGGAGAGGAGAGUGGAAUUCCUGGUGUAGCGGUGAAAUGCGUAGAUAUCAGGAGGAACACCGGUGGUGAAGACGGCUCUCUGGACCGGUACUGACGCUGAGACUCGAAAGCGUGGGGAGCAAACAGGAUUAGAUACCCGUGUAGUCC